UACGAAGGGGGCUAGCGUUGUUCGGAAUUACUGGGCGUAAAGCGCGCGCAGGCGGCUAUCCAAGUCAGUGGUGAAAGCCCGGAGCUCAACUCCGGAACUGCCAUUGAAACUGUUAGACUUGAGGACGAGAGAGGUGAGUGGAAUUCCCAGUGUAGAGGUGAAAUUCGUAGAUAUUGGGAAGAACACCGGUGGCGAAGGCGGCUCACUGGCUCGUAUCUGACGCUCAGGCGCGAUAGCGUGGGGAUCAAACAGG
rnacentral:rRNA from 1 species